GGAGCACGCCGGACCGUCACUGGUGCAAGUCUCGAAAGAGCGCACUGGAGGAACGUCCGGACUGCACAGGACAGCGCAGGAGCUAACGGCUCCCCACCGCGAGGUGAGGAUCAGAGCAACAGAGACGAGUCGGCCAGGGGCAACCCCGGCCGGGUGAAACGGGCAAUCUCUGCGCGCAGCAACACCAAGUAGGCCAGCGUCGAUGUGGUUCCGCAGAGCUGGCGGGUAGGUGGCAUCGAGCCGUUUGGCGACAAACGGCCCAGAGUAAUGGCGGUCACGUUCAGGUUCGCGCAAGCGGUCCUGGAUGCACAGAAUCCGGCUUACAGGCGUGCUCCACAC
rnacentral:RNase_P_RNA from 1 species